GACGAACGCUGGCGGCGUGCCUAAUACAUGCAAGUUGAGCGCUGAAGGUUGGUACUUGUACCAACUGGAUGAGCAGCGAACGGGUGAGUAACGCGUGGGGAAUCUGCCUUUGAGCGGGGGACAACAUUUGGAAACGAAUGCUAAUACCGCAUAAAAACUUUAAACACAAGUUUUAAGUUUGAAAGAUGCAAUUGCAUCACUCAAAGAUGAUCCCGCGUUGUAUUAGCUAGUUGGUGAGGUAAAGGCUCACCAAGGCGAUGAUACAUAGCCGACCUGAGAGGGGUGUCGGCCACAGUGGGACUGAGACACGGCCCAAACUCCUACGGGAGGCAGCAGUAGGGAAUCUUCGGCAAUGGACGAAAGUCUGACCGAGCAACGCCGCGUGAGUGAAGAAGGUUUUCGGAUCGUAAAACUCUGUUGGUAGAGAAGAACGUUGGUGAGAGUGGAAAGCUCAUCAAGUGACGGUAACUACCCAGAAAGGGACGGCUAACUACGUG
rnacentral:rRNA from 1 species